rnacentral:rRNA from 1 species
UACAGAGGUCUCAACCGUUGUUCGGAUUCAUUGGGCGUAAAGGGGUGCGUAGGCGGUCGCGCAAGUCGGAUGUGAAAUCUCAGGGCUCAACCCUGAAACUGCAUUCGAUACUGCGUGGCUAGAGUGCUGGAGAGGAGACUGGAAUUUACGGUGUAGCAGUGAAAUGCGUAGAUAUCGUAAGGAAGAACCAGUGGCGAAGGCGAGUCUCUGGACAGCAACUGACGCUGAGGCACGAAGGCCAGGGGAGCAAACGGG